UUGACUUGAUAGGGGUAGUCAACCUUAGUGGUAAAAGUGUUAAUUAGAGAUAUAUGAUGUUAUAGGAGGAUUAUAGCUCGGAGGAUCGAGCACGAGUGAUUUCCAGGAUUCGCGAGUUAUCGAGAUAUACGAGGUGAGUCUUCUCACUAUACUUUACCUUGAGUAGGUAAUCAGAGUUAUGUGACAGAGUAUGUGUAUGCUAUAUGUAUGUUAUGUGUUGUACUGCAUUAUUUCUAUGUGAUUUAUGCUGUGCAUGUUUAUAGAGUUGGAACCGGAAGGUUCCCAGAGUUAGAACCAGAGGGUUCACAGAGUAGGGUCUACGGACCCACAGAGUUAUAGCCUCGAGUGGCUAAUAUGUGUUAUGUGUGGUAUUUUGGGGAACUCACUAAGCUUUGUGCUUACAGUGUUAGUGUUGUUUGUUUCAGGUACUAGUGAUGACCGUGGGAAGGCGCCGGCUUGAUCUGUACACACGCAUGGGAUUUUUAUGAUAUGUGAUCUUGGGAUUUUGUAUGAUAUGGAUUGGAGUUUUAAACUUGAUGUUUUAUGAAAAUUAAAUGAAAAUGUUUUUAUAUUAUGCGAAAAAUUAUUUUGAAAUUCACGGUGUUACAAUUUGGUAUCAGAGCCUUGGUUUGAGGGAUUCGAGUACACCUUCGGGCGUAUUUGAACUCAAACUGAGGAUUUGAGAAGUAUUUUCAAAAAGAGUAAAAGAUUUUUGAAAAACGCAGAGCAGAGUUGUGUGUACGAUCAGUCCGCGCCCGAACGGUGAUUUCCCAAAAUACCCUCAUGUUAUGUGAUAUUGAUAUUGAUAUGAUGUAUUCUCAUGCUAGAGUAGGCUAGGUACUCCUAUUAGGACUAGAGUGGCCUGAUUUGUGAUGCCUUAGCCUAGGGAGAGGUGAGCUGCUAUGAGAUGCUUGAGAGUGAGUAGGUAGCAGCGAGGGGCUUAUGAGAGAUCUGUUAGAGAGUGGAUUAUGCAUGAUAGAGUACUUGGAAUUUGGGAUCCGAAGAGGAGGACUUGGGGUGUAUUCUGAUACGGUGCGGACAGUAGUAUUGGGCCCGUACUACUGAAAGCACCGGAGCGGUGUACAGCCCAAGUAAGAAUCUUUGGAAUACCAAGGAUCAAGGAGGAAUGAGUUGUCGAGUGUGAGUAUGCUCGAAUGGGUUCUAAUUUAUCGUAUGUUGUAUUUCAGAGGUAGAUCAUGGUGAGGACACGUCUGAUGCCUGAGAGCAGUGAGACCAGUGAUGAGGAGAUCCGUCGGAUCAUCCAUGAGGAGGUGGCUGCGGCCAUCAGGGCAGAGAUACCAGAGAUGUUCGGGUCUAUUAAGACCACGUUGAUUGAGACCUUCGACGAGCGUUAUGCCGCUCUUUCUGAGGCUGCUGUUGCAGCGGCCACCGCAGCUAUUGCUGCCGCGAGGCCGCAAGGUGGUGAUGCGUUGCUGUUCCGGGAGUUCAGCAACACAAAACCACCAGAGUUUGAUGGGACCCAGGACCCGGUGGCAGCUAUGAGGUGGAUUUCUGACAUAGAGGGGUGUUUCUUCACUUGCUCAUCUCCUGAGCAUUUGAAGGUUCGGUUCGCGCUGAACCAGCUUCGCUUGGGAGCGAAGGACUGGUGGAAGUUUGUGACGGCGCACUUUACGCCUGCUGAGCUUGCGGCAGUGACCUGGGAGAGGUUCACUGCCAUGUUCCGAGAUGAGUACGUUCCCCAGGUGGAGAGGGAGCGUUUGGCCCAGGAGUUUCUGACCCUCAAGCAGGGUACUGAGUCUGUUACGGUGAUUACCAGGAUGUUCCACGAGAGGGCGAUGUUCUGCCCUGAGCACGUGUCCACUGAGCAGGCACGUAUGAGCCGAUAUUUGAGUAUCUUGAGGCGAGACAUUCGGGAGUUCGCGGCGAACUCCUCGUACCGGACAUUUGCUGAGCUUCAGGCAAAUGCCCGGAAGAGGGAGAUUGAGCUAGAGACUCAGGCCAGGGAGGAGGCGGAGUCUCAGGGGAGGGAUCGGCGACCGGCACAGUCUCAGCCGGCAGCCAAGCGGGCCAAGCCCGCUGAUCCCAAACCAGGGAGCCAGAAGGGCCGCACUUGUGGGAAGUGUGGCAAGGGUCAUGAUGGAGUCUGUAGAGCGGGAUCUUGCUACAAGUGUGGCAAGGAGGGGCACAUGGCCAAGGACUGCCCCAAGGGGUUUGCGGUGUGUUUUCACUGCAACCAGACCGGACACCGGAAGGCAGAGUGUCCGCAGUUGCGAGGAUCAUCUCAGGGAUCACCUCAGGGAUCUGCCCCUGCCGCCAUCAGAGCUACAGAGAGUCGGCCAGUGAAGGCCAAGGCGCCAAGGGCACGAGGGAGAGCCUUUCAGCUGACCGCGGAGGAGGUCCGCGCAGCGCCCGAUGUCGUGGCUGGUAUGUAUUCUUUCAUGUAUUUAUUUUGAUGUUGAGAUAUUAUGCUUAUAUUAUGUUAUGCGUAGGUACUUUUCUUGUGAAUUCUGUACCUGCCUUGGUGUUAUUUGACUCGGGUGCGAGUCGGUCUUUUGUAUCUUUGGCUUUUAGUCAGCAUAUCAGUGUUAGUCGUGAGGCGUUGAGUCGGCCUCUGAGAGUUUCCAUAGCUGAUGAGAGGGUGAUAUAUGCCACGGAGGUUCUCCGAGGGUGCGUAGUCGAGAUUUUCGGUGUUGAGUUCCCGAUUGAUCUGGUUCCUAUUGCGAUGGGUGAUGUCUGUGUCAUUGUGGGCAUGGACUGGUUGAGCAGAUUCGGUGCGGUUAUCGACUGCGAGCGACAGCUGGUGACCAUACGAGACCCUAGUGGGGGAGUUCUUUCGGUGUACGGCGAGGGUACACGUUCAGGAUCAGCGUUUUGUUCGGCCGCUAGGGCAAGGCAGUGUCUACAGCAGGGCUGUAAGGGUUUUGUGGCGUAUGUGAUGGAUACGCGCGUGGAUUCCGAGAGGCUGAGUUCAGUAGAGGAGGUCCCGGUGGUGCGUGAGUUCCCGAAUGUAUUUCCCGAGGAGUUGCCGGGUGUGCCUCCUGUGAGGCAAGUGGAGUUCAGUAUCGAUUUGGUUCCGGGGGCUGCGCCUAUCGCGAAGGUGCCCUAUCGCCUUGCACCUCCAGAGAUGCAAGAGUUAUCCUCGCAGCUUCAGGAGCUGUUGGGGAAGGGAUUUAUUCAGCCGAGCAGCUCGCCGUGGGGAGCACCUAUCCUGUUCGUCAAGAAGAAGGAUGGUUCACACCGGAUGUGCAUUGAUUACCGGGAGUUGAACAAGCUGGCGGUCAAGAACCGUUACCCGUUGCCGAGGAUCGACGAUUUGUUCGAUCAGCUUAAGGGAGCAUCUUGGUUCUCCAAGAUCGAUUUGAUGUCUGGAUAUCAUCAAGUGAGGGUGCANGAUGAGGACGUCCAGAAGACAGCGUUCAGGACGCGUUAUGGGCAUUAUGAGUUUGUGGUGAUGCCUUUUGGGCUCACCAAUGCCCCGGCGGUGUUCAUGGAUCUCAUGAACCGAGUGUGUAGGCCGAUGCUGGAUCGGUCGGUGAUUGUAUUUAUCGACGACAUUCUGAUAUAUUUGAGAUCUAGAGAGCAGCAUGAGGAGCAUUUGAGAGAGGUUCUCGGAGUUCUAUGGUCGGAGAGGCUUUAUGCCAAAUUCUCCAAGUGUGAUUUCUAGUUGCGGGAGGUCCAGUUCUUAGGACAUCUCGUUAACCAGGAAGGGAUAUUGGUCGAUCCGGCGAAGGUUGAGGCGGUAAUGAGUUGGGAAGUGCUGAGAUCACCCUCCGAAAUUAGGAGUUUCCUAGGGUUGGGGGUUGAGGCGGUAAUGAGUUGGGAAGUGCUGAGAUCACCCUCCGAAAUUAGGAGUCUCCUAGGGUUGGGAGGGUAUUAUCGGAGGUUUAUUAAGGAUUUCUCCAAGAUCACAGUGCCACUCACCAGAUUGACCCGGAAGGGUGUUGCUUUUUCAUGGGGCCCCGAGCAGCAGGCCUCCUUUGAGACACUUCGCCAAAGGUUGUGCGAAGCCCCGGUGUUAGCCCUCCCGGAAGGGAUGGAGGACUUUGUGGUAUACUGUGAUGCAUCGAUUUUGGGGUUGGGAGCGGUGCUGAUGCAGAGAGGGCAUGUGAUAGCAUAUGCAUCGAGGCAGCUGAAGCCUCAUGAGACGAGAUAUCCCACCCAUGAUCUAGAGUUGGGGGCAGUGGUGUUCGCCCUCAAGAUUUGGCGUCACUACUUGUAUGGGGUUCGGUGUACGAUAUACACGGACCAUAAGAGUUUGAAGUAUUUGAUGGAUCAGCCCAACCUAAAUAUGCGUCAGAGAAGGUGGUUGGAUGUGGUCAAGGAUUAUGAUUGUGAGAUCCUGUACCACCCAGGCAAGGCUAAUGUGGUAGCCGAUGCAUUGAGCCGCAGGGCGGAGAGCACCCCGCUGCGGGAUGUAUGUUUGAGAUUGACCGUGAUAGCUCCAGUGUUGGACGCCAUUCGUGGGGCACAGGCCGAGGCUGUGCAACCUGAGAUGCAGAAGAGGGAACGGGUUGUUGGUUUGGUUUCAGAGUUCGUUACCGAUGGUCGGGGGCUUAUGACAUUUCAGGGGCGUAUCUGGGUGCCGUUUGUGGGAGGAACGCGUACCAUUUUGAUGGAGGAGGCUCAUCGGUCGAAAUUUUCGAUCCAUCCGGGGGCCACUAAGAUGUAUUUGGAUCUGAGAAAGGAGUAUUGGUGGCCCUGUAUGAAGAGGGAUGUUGCGUGGUUUGUUGAGAGGUGCUUGACCUGCCGUAGGGUUAAGGCCGAGCACCAGAGGCCGCAUGGUAAGUUGCAGCCAUUGGAGGUUCCCGAAUGGAAGUGGGAACAGAUCACUAUGGAUUUCAUCACCAAAUUGCCAAGGACUGCCAGAGGAGUUGAUGCAAUUUGGGUGAUUGUGGACAGGUUGACGAAGAGCGCUCACUUCCUUGCUAUCAGCGAGAGUUCUUCAGCAGAGAAAUUGGCAGAGGUGUACGUGAGGGAAGUGGUAUCUCGGCAUGGGGUGCCGAUCUCGAUUGUUUCAGACCGUGAUGUGCGCUUCACUUCCAGAUUCUGGAAGAAGUUUCAUGAGGAGUUGGGUACUAGACUGCAUUUUAGUACCGCAUAUCAUCCCCAGACAGACGGUCAGAGUGAGCGGACGAUUCAGACGCUUGAGGACAUGCUCCGAGCAUGUGUGUUGGAUUUCGGGGGUAGCUGGGAUGCGUAUUUGCCCUUGGCAGAGUUUUCCUACAACAACAGCCAUCAUUCGAGCAUUGGUAUGCCGCCCUUUGAGCUGUUGUAUGGGAGGAGGUGUCGGACCCCCAUUUGUUGGGGAGAGGUUGGACAGCGUGUGAUGGGCAGUACAGAGAUCGUGCUUCAGACGACAGAGCAGAUCCAGCAGGUCAGACAGAGGUUGUUGACCGCUCAGAGUCGUCAGAAGAGUUAUGCAGACAGACGCCGGUCCGAGCUUGAGUUUCAGGUCGGCGACCUUGUACUCCUGAAGGUCUCUCCUUGGAAAGGAGUGAUUCGAUUCAGGAAGAGGGGCAAGUUGGGGCCCCGAUAUAUUGGUCCAUUCCGAGUGAUCGCGAGGGUAGGCCGGGUAGCCUAUCGUUUGGAUUUGCCAGCAGAGUUGGGGCAGAUUCACGACACUUUUCAUGUGUCGCAGCUGAGGAAGUGUAUAGCCGAUGAGUCGGCAGUGGUUCCAUUAGAGGAUAUUCAGGUGGAUGCGAGCCUGAAUUAUGCUGAGAGACCAGUGGCCAUCAGAGAUCGGAAAAUCAAGGUUCUGAGGAACAAGGAGGUACCCUUGGUUUUGGUUCAGUGGCAACAUCGGAAGGGGUCCGAGAUGACUUGGGAGCCGGAGCGUGAGAUGCGUGAGCAGCAUCCGGAGUUAUUUGCAGAGCGAGACUUCGAGGGCGAAGUCUAGUUCUAGUGGGGGAGAAUUGUAACAGCCCGGAUUCCCAGGUAUUAUUUAUUCAUAUAUUUUUGGUGUUUUGUGAGGGGACUCGGCGAGUUGGAGCUCAAACUCGCCGAGUAUGAUCGCGGUUUUGGACGCGGGUUCGCGCCUGGACUCGGCGAGUCCAAGGAAUGGACUCGGCGAGUCCGCGCUGUUUAAUGAAACCCUAAUUUCCCGGCCUUGAGCCCUAUUUAAAGGACCUUAAACCCCUUCAUUGCGGCUACCUUCGACCUUGAGAGCACCAGAGCAGCUGAGAGUUCUUGUGAGUGAGAUAAGAGGCCAUUAUUCACCAUUUUUGUGUGUAAUUGCAAGAAAGGAAGAGGAAGGCCAAACUAGGAGAGUUGGGGAGCUUGGAUCUACUCCCAUUUCGGCAGAAGAAGCUAUUUGAGGUAACAUUCAGAGCUUAUUCUCGUGUUUUUGUUGAUAUGGUCAAAUCUAGGGUUUCUUCAUGCCUUGUUUGCCUUGUAUUUGGAGUGUGAGAGGUCCCAUGGGGAUAUGGUACCUAGAUCUGGACCUUAGUAGGUCCAGAGAGUCCCAAAUGCCAUGCUUUAUGCCUUUCCUUUUGAGUUGGAGACUUAGGUUACCAUUUUAGAGGUCAUUUCUUCAAAAGAAGCCUUGUAGGCGUUGCAUGGUAGCCAAGAUUGUGACUUUACGUGAUGAAUGUGCUUGGGAGGGCCAGAUCUAUGAGUUGUUGGAGCGGAUCUGACCUCAGAAGCGAGAUUGAGUUGAUGCAUGGCAUGGACUCGCCGAGUCCGAAGAACAGACUCGGCGAGUAGCAUGAAGAUUGUCCUUAACCACUCAGCGAGUGGUCUUGCCGAGUUAAGGGUUGACUCAGUGAGUCAGGGAGAGUUAGAGAGGGUUGACAGGUGGACUGAGUCGAGCUGGAACUCGCCGAGUUGUUCUUGAGACUCGGCGAGUUGAGUCGUGGUGGCCCCGCGAUUCAUGCCAGGUGGAACUCGUCGAGUCAGGGGAGUACUCGACGUGUCAAAAGAGAAUCCUAGAGAGUUGGUGAAAACGUUUAGACUCGCCGAGUCGCUCUAGUGCACUCGCCGAGUCCGGUCAAAGUUGACCGUUGACCGUUGACCAGAGUUGACCAGUGUUGACUUGAUAGGGGUAGUCAACCUUAGUGGUAAAAGUGUUAAUUAGAGAUAUAUGAUGUUAUAGGAGGAUUAUAGCUCGGGGGAUCGAGCACGAGUGAUUUCCAGGAUUCGCGAGUUAUCGAGAUAUACGAGGUGAGUCUUCUCACUAUACUUUACCUUGAGUAGGUAACCAGAGUUAUGAUACAGUGCUUGUAUGCUAU
rnacentral:lncRNA from 1 species